CCACCGAGUGCAGCCCAUUACUGAAGAUCCAGCAGGUGGUAACAACUUGCUUUAUGGGUCCCUGAAAGAGCUGAGAGAGCAGAACCACCAAGCUAGAUAUAUUUUCACACACUAGAGAACUGCCCCAAUAUGUCAGGUGGUAAGAUUUGUUCAGGAAGAUUUCAGGUGUUUUCAGUUCCUUAUCAGCUGGCUCUUUGUCCAAACAUUUCACAUGUUGCCAAUACUCCCUGAUUACCAAUCACAUGUUUCUGGUCACUGCUCUUCAAGCCCUUAGUAGAGCUUCUGUAGACAUUAAUUCAAAUAGAAGUUUUGGCGUUCAUGAUUUUGCUGCCAAGAAUUUCAUCCCAUCAUUUUUCUGUUCUGUAAGGUUCUGGUCUCUUGCUUCCUAAAAUGGUUGAUGAACUACUCAGAGGCAAAAGGAGAUGAGAUGCAAGCCCUGUAUUCAAAACAGAACUUGCUAUCUGGCCCAGACACAUGGAGUUCCUAUUUGGCUAAUCUGCAGAGACAGACAAGUUCUGGAACCACUUCUGAUGGUUUCAGCAAUCUACAUUUGCAAGCGUAUGCAGAAAUCUUCUUUAAAAGACUGGAAAGAAAAUUGUCCAGUACUAAGUCUCUUGCAUGUAUAUUCCAGAUUGCAACCCUUACAGACGAAAAACUUCUUCAGUACCUGUGUUAUUCUGUUGUAUUUCCCCAGAGUAAGUGUAAAUCACAACUGUAAAUGUUGUAAAUUGCAGCACUGAGAGAGAAAAACACUGAACAUGGCAGUGUUCUGCUACUGGGGAUAUGGCUUCUAGUGAUACUCAUUUUGUAAUUCAAUGGAGUUUGCUCCUGAGAAACCCUGGGUUGCUUUUGAACAAGCCUUUUGAAUGCCCCAUUCUAGGACAGAAAUGAGAAAACUCCCCAGAAACAUCAUCCUGGAGAGUAUCACAAAGCAAGAGCCUGUUUUAGUUUCCCAUUUAGAGGUGUGUUUUAAUCCACUGGGUUUUGUUGCUGCUGGAGUUACUUGCACUGUUUUUUUGCAGAGCAAUGUCUCAGUAUUAUAAAUAUUGAAGAAAGGGAGCUUGGCCUACUUUUAAGGAUGAUUUCUCUUUAAACAGUCUUUGUAUAAGCCAUUGUUUUAGAGCAAGGAGAUUUCUAAAUGUGCAUUUGUUUAGGGAAUAUCUAAAGUUGCGUGAGAGAUUGCCAUAGCUCACACUCUCUUGUAAAUCACCAUUGAACAGUAGUAACCCAAAGAAUGAACUGAAAACAUGUCUGGUUUCAAUUGUAAGGCAAGAGACUUGCCAAAGGCUGUGAUUGAUUCAGAGACCACCCUUUGGAAGAGCAAUUUCUACUGGCUAGAUUACCUUAAAAAUCUCUGGGGUUGUGUUGUGCUCAUCACGUUAUGAACUGGCAACCAGAAAGGGCACUGGAUGCCAGCCAAAAGGUCUGAGCUGUGUCCUUGAGAGCAUUUGCCCCCAGGAGAGCCACUCCGUGUAGGGGGGAAUUUGCUACCUUGACAUGGACUUUCUCUGGCUGCAAAAGCAAUCCUUUCAGGCAGCUCUCACAUACGAAGAGUGGCUGUGUGCUGUUUUCAGAUUGCUCUGUGCAUGGUUACUGGAUUAGCAGUGGCUAACGGCCGACAUUGCUAUCUCAGCUAGUGUUUGGCUAUAGGCAGCAUUGUAUUUCAGAACAUUCCAUCGGUGUUUAAACGGGGUUUAUAGUUUGCUCUUCCCCUUUGGCAGUGUACUGUUCAGGUAAAAUUAUCUUCAGGAUACCAAACAGCUCUGUACUCUGUCCUAAAAGAAUGAUGUGUUUUCAGCUUUCAAUGCCAUACAUCUGGUAAUACAGCAACUCUCCUGAACCCCUUUUGCUUGCA